rnacentral:rRNA from 1 species
UGGGAGCUUGCUCCCUGAUUUAGCGGCGGACGGGUGAGUAAUGCCUAGGAAUCUGCCUGGUAGUGGGGGAUAACGUUCCGAAAGGAACGCUAAUACCGCAUACGUCCUACGGGAGAAAGCAGGGGACCUUCGGGCCUUGCGCUAUCAGAUGAGCCUAGGUCGGAUUAGCUAGUUGGUGAGGUAAUGGCUCACCAAGGCGACGAUCCGUAACUGGUCUGAGAGGAUGAUCAGUCACACUGGAACUGAGACACGGUCCAGACUCCUACGGGAGGCAGCAGUGGGGAAUAUUGGACAAUGGGCGAAAGCCUGAUCCAGCCAUGCCGCGUGUGUGAAGAAGGUCUUCGGAUUGUAAAGCACUUUAAGUUGGGAGGAAGGGCAUUAACCUAAUACGUUAGUGUUUUGACGUUACCGACAGAAUAAGCACCGGCUAACUUCGUGCCAGCAGCCGCGGUAAUACGAAGGGUGCAAGCGUUAAUCGGAAUUACUGGGCGUAAAGCGCGCGUAGGUGGUUCGUUAAGUUGGAUGUGAAAGCCCCGGGCUCAACCUGGGAACUGCAUCCAAAACUGGCGAGCUAGAGUACGGUAGAGGGUGGUGGAAUUUCCUGUGUAGCGGUGAAAUGCGUAGAUAUAGGAAGGAACACCAGUGGCGAAGGCGACCACCUGGACUGAUACUGACACUGAGGUGCGAAAGCGUGGGGAGCAAACAGGAUU